rnacentral:rRNA from 1 species
UAGCCGGCCUGAGAGGGCGACCGGCCACACUGGGACUGAGACACGGCCCAUAUACAUACGGGAGGCAGCAGUGGGGAAUAUUGCGCAAUGGGCGAAAGCCUGACGCAGCAACGCCGCGUGCGGGAUGAAGGCCUUCGGGUUGUAAACCGCUUUCAGCAGGGAAGAAGCGAAAGUGACGGUACCUGCAAAAGAAGCACCGGCUAACUACGUGCCAGCAGCCGCGGUAAUACGUAGGGUGCAAGCGUUGUCCGGAUUUAUUGGGCGUAAAGAGCUCGUAGGCGGUUAGUCACGUCGGAUGUGAAAACUCAGUGCUUAACACUGAGCCUGCAUUCGAUACGGGCUGACUAGAGUAUUGUAGGGGAGACUGGAAUUCCU